CACCCUCAGCUCCCCAAAGGGUCACGACACAGGAGCAAAUUUCACACCGCGAGAGGAAGAAAGGGCUCCUUUGUGCUUCCAGUGGAUGAGACUUUGCAGCACGUCCUCGCCUUUGGUGUCUCCCCAGUUCCUGACUCAGGCUUCCUCAGCCCUGCGCUCAUUGGAGAGACCAUCGCUCUCGCAGGAAGCUUUCCCAGCCAAGGGCUUCGAGUUACAGCCCGCAGGCUCGUGCGGGGAGGAGAGAGAGCGCCUGGAAGGAGCAGGAGGAGAAGCAAAGCCACUCUGGAAGUUUUGCCGGGGCAGACCAAGGAUGGGGCUGUAGCACUGGGAAGCCUGCGACCCCCACCCCGACCUGCCCAGAGCGGCCCCCUGAAGCCGUGGAGGAUGGCUGGGCUUGCAGAGGGCCGAGGCUGGGACUUCUCUACCUGGAAAUUCUUGCCGGGCCUGGUCCAGGCCAUGCGUGUGACUCCUUCCUCAAAUUGCCAUUGUGGGAAAGACCCUGGAGGUAGUCGAGCACUUCCCUUACUCGAGUAGCCACACUGAACGUUGAUGAGAUCCAGCACGACCUCCAGGCUGCAAGUGCCUCCUCUGAGAAGUUGCUUCAUCGUCUUUUUAUGGAUCGUGAUUUCCAAAAAGACACCAAGAUCCAGAUCUACAACUCAGUCAUCAUCCCCACGCUACUCUACAGAUGUGAAACGUGGCUUCGCUGUGGCCUGAGGUCUUGCUGCGGCCAGAAGAAAUGCUGCAAGGACACAUGGAAGGCAACCAUCAAGAAGACAGAAACCAACACCAAGAGCUGGGAGGAACUGCUUGCUAACCAACUCCAAUGGUGCCACAACCUCAACCAGGUAAAGCAUCUUGCCCUUGAAGCAAAGAAGAGAGACCAGAGGACGGACAGACCUGCAACUUGUGUGGACGGGUUUGUGGCUCAAGGAUUGGACUCUUAAGUCACCUCAAAACCCAUCAGUGAGCUGUGGCAGAGAUCAUCCUCGAACUGAGAUUGUUGACAACGUGCUCUAUAAUAAUGUGCAAGCACUAAAGGCAUUUAAAGGUAGUGCUGCACCUUCAGACCGGCUGUUAGCACCCACCGUGCAACCCAUGGUUCUCGGUGAAUGAGCCUUGGUUGUCAAUACUACACCAAGCUUUGACAGUCGUGGUGGCAGCGGGGUCACCAGUCUCUCCCCCGGCUGCUGCUAGAGGCAGACAAAAAGUCACCUAGCUGCCUGAUUCUCGUGUUAUUUUCAAGGCAGGCAAUUAAAAUGAUGACUUAUCUUGAUCUGUGUCUGUGAAUAAUUGUGCCACCAACAAAAAGAUUAGAGCAAGGCACUAUUCACAAGCCAGAUAAUGCUGGACUCAGAGCAGCGUGUUAUGAUAAGUGACUCCAUCCUUAUCUGUUGGUUUGGGUUUUUUUUUACUUAAAGGGAUUUGCAUUUGAUCUUAGCAGCUUUAAGUUUUGCUUUCCCUGCAAAAAAGAAAUUAAAAAGGCUGAUGGGACUGAUCUAGCCUGUUCUGUUUGCUUCUGGUGUGUAUUUUCUUAGCUUGACAGCAAAAUGUCCUUCAGGAACUAGAGCUCAUUUCUGCCGGGGUUUGCCCCCCCCGUGUCCCUCUGGUAAGAGCUGAGUAUAUACCAGGUCAGUUCUCUGCGGUAUUUUAUUGCCUGUAUCAGCUUGAAGGCAGGAGAGGGCAGCCCCUUAGACACUAAUUCGGAGAAUCAUGAGCCUUUGCAGGCCACAGUCUGCUCACCUUGUGACCUGUUGGCAUGUGUGAGCAAAAUAGCGGCGGUUCAUGAUGAGUCCGUCUCCCAAGUGAGUUCAACAUACGUGAGCUUACAUCUUCCUGGCACCCAGGCGCCUUCCCAUCUGCGUUUGGUGCAUCUGCAUAGUCCUGAUAACAUGGCAGCAGUGAUACUUAACCAGGGUGCCAUGGCGCUCUGGAGUGCCAUGAGAU
rnacentral:lncRNA from 1 species